rnacentral:lncRNA from 1 species
UGUUUGAUCAUGUUGUUGAUGUCCUUGCUUUACCUUCUGCAAUUCUAUUGUCAAGUGCUGUGCUUAAUCAGGGAUGCAGAUCCCAUAAUUGGAAUAUAAGUUGCAUGGUAUAAACAAUGAAAUUUGGGAUCCUGUACUUUGGUUGGGUUGUGAAUGAGCUGAUCGCAUAGGUUCUAAUGACUAGAAAUCAUCCAGGACUGUUAUGUUAAGUUGCUUUUGGAU